AGUUCUAGAUACAGCGUGUCUGUUUUCUGAUCUGUAUUGUUUGGAUCUCCUGAUUAUAAAAAGUCCCAGUUAUCAGUAUACUAUCGUUGUUAAGUUGAUACCAAAAUAACAUAUCAGAUUUUGUAAGAAAUCAUAUUGAAGCUUGAUCUUGCAAAAUUUUCUUUUCACCUGCACACUGAAGAUUUCUAAGCAUUGGUAGGAUAACUGACAAACAAACAACACACAUGAAACUUACAGUAACUGUUUCUGCUUGACGAAGCUACUUCACUGUUCUUUCAUUUCAUCAAUUGCAAUUGCUCUUGUUUCCUGUGUAGCACUUGUCAAACUUAUUUCAAAUAUUGAUAUCUUGAUGUAUCCAUAGGCCUACAUCAACAUCAACAUCAACAAAGCCUUUUAAUCCCAAGCAAGUUGGGGUAAGCUAGAGUUGAAACCCAACAAAAACCAUUAUUCAUGGUUCUGGCACGUGAAUCGCGGCUUUCCAAGCACUCCUAUCUAAGGACAAAUCUCUAGGAUACCACUAUGCACUGGUGCCUCUGGCGGUCUCCGUUGGACAUGUCCAAACCAUCUCAGCCGGUGUUGGAUAAGCUUUUCUUCAAUUGGUGCUAUCCCUAGCCUAUCCCGUAUAUCAUCAUUUCGAACUCGAUCCAUCCUUGUAUGCCCACAAAUCCAACGCAACAUGCGCAUUUCUGCAACACUUAAUUGUUGGACGUGCCGCCUUUUUGUAGGCCAAUAUUCCGCACCAUACAACAUUGCCGGUCUAAUCGCCGUUCUAUAAAACUUGCCUUUUAACUUUUGAGGUACCUUCUUGUCACAAAGGACGCCAGAUGCUUGGCGCCACUUCAUCCAUCCCGCUUUGAUUCUAUGACUAACAUCCUCAUCAAUAUCUCCAUCUCUCUGUAGCAUCGAUCCCAAAUAUCGAAAGAUAUCCCUCUUGGGCACUACUUGGCCUUCCAAACUAACAUCUCCCUCCUCAUGAGUGGUGCCGAAGUCACACCUCAUAUACUCAGUUUUAGUCUUGCUAAGUCUAAAACCUUUGGACUCUAGUGUUUGCCGCCACAACUCCACCUUCCUAUUCACACCCGCACGGCUUUCAUCAACUAACACAUCAUCAGCGAAAAGCAUACACCAAGGAAUAUCACCUUGUAUGUCUCUUGUGACCUCAUCCAUCACUAGGGCAAUAAGAUACGGGCUCAAAGCUGAUCCUUGAUGUAGUCCUAUCUUAAUCGGAAAGUCAUCUGUGUCACCAUCACUUGUUCAGACCCUAGUCAUUACAUUAUUGUACAUGUCCUUAAUGAGGGCCACAUACUUUGUUGGGACUUUAUACCUAUCCAAAGCCCACCACAUCACAUUCCGUGGUAUCUUGUCAUAAGCCUUCUCCAAGUCAAUGAAAACCAUGUGUAGGUUCUUUUGCUCUCUAUACCGCUCCAUGACAUGUCUUAUUAGGAAAAUUACUUCUAUGGUUGACCUUCCAGGCAUGAAACCAAACUGGUUCAUAGUGACCCGCGUCAUCCCUCUCAAACGAUGCUCAAUAACUCUAUCCCAUAGCUUCAUAGUAUGGCUCAUCAACUUAAUUCCCCGGUAGUUGGUGCAGCUUUGAAUAUCCCCUUUGUUCUUGUAGAUCGGCACCAAUAUACUCCUUCUCCACUCUUCAGGCAUCUUGUUCGACCGAAAAAUACGGUUGAAAAGUUUUGUUAGCCAAACUAUCGCUAUAUCACCUAGGCACGUCCACACCUCGACUAGAAUGCCAUUAGGGCCUGUCGCCUUACCUCCUUUCAUCCUUUUCAACGCCUCUUUGACCUCAGAUUCUUGAAUCCUCCUCACAAAGCGCAUGUUGGUGUCAUCAAAAGAGUCGUCCAGCUGAAAAGUUGUAUUCUCAUUAUCCCCGUUAUAUAGUCUGUCAAAAUACUCUUGCCAUCUAAGUCUGAUUUCAUCCUCCUUCACCAAGAGCUGAUCCAUAUCGUCCUUAAUGCACUUAACCUGGCUGAAGUCCCUCGUCUUUCUCUCACGCACCCUCGCCAUCCUAUAGAUGUCCUCUCCUUCCUUUGUAUUCAGUCGUUGGUACAUAUCCUCAUAAGCCCGACCCUUCGCCUCACUCAGCUCGCUUUGCGAUCUUCUUUGCCACCUUGUACUUCUCUAUAUUAUCUGCACUCCUAUCAAGAAACAAAUGCUUAUAACAAUCUUUCUUCUCCUUAAUAGCCCUCUGGACGUCCUCGUUCCACCACUACGUGUCUUUAGUUUUGCACCCACCCCCUCUGGUCAUCCCAAAAACUUCCGAAGCUACCUUCCGAAUGCAGGUCGUCAUCUUCUCCCACAUGUAGUUUGCGUCUCCCUCUUCAUUCCAAGAGCCCUCCACAAUAACUCUUCCCUUGAAUACCUCGGCCAUCUCCCCUUUUAGCUUCCACCACUUCGUUCUUGCGAUCUUGGCUUGUUUAGGCCUACGAGCACGCAUCUGAAAACAAAAGUCGGCCACCAGCAGCUUAUGUUGGGAGACUACAUACUCUCCGGGUAUCACCUUACAAUCGAAGCAUGCUCGUUUAUCCUCUCUUCUUGUGAGGAUAAAGUCGAUCUGACUAGUGUGUUGGCCACUACUGAAGGUCACUAAGUGAGACUCUCUUUUGAAAGAAAGUGUUGGCUAGCAUUAGGUCAAAAGCUACAACAAAGUCUAAGACUUCCUCCCCUUCCGGAUUUCUGCUACCAAAACCAAAACCCUCAUGUGCCGUCUCGAACCCUGUGUUUGUGGUUCCUACAUGACCAUUAAGAUCUCCUCCUAUAAAAAGCUUCUCCCUAAUAGGUACAGCUCUAACCAUGUCAUCUAAGACAUCCCAGAACUAUCUCUUAGCACUCUCAUCGUGUCCUACUUGGGGGCAUAAGCACUAAUAACGUUCAGGACUAAGUCACCAACAACGAGCUUGACUAAGAUGAUCCUAUCUCCUCGCCU